rnacentral:rRNA from 1 species
UACAGAGGGUGCGAGCGUUAAUCGGAAUUACUGGGCGUAAAGCGUGCGUAGACGGUAGCGUAAGUCGGGUGUGAAAGCCCCGGGCUCAACCUGGGAAUUGCAUUCGAGACUGCUCUGCUAGGGUGCGGAAGAGGGAAGCGGAAUUUCCGGUGUAGCGGUGAAAUGCGUAGAUAUCGGAAGGAACACCAGUGGCGAAAGCGGCUUCCUGGUCCAGCACCGACGUUCAGGCACGAAAGCGUGGGGAGCAAAC